rnacentral:lncRNA from 1 species
CUUUAGUCACCAACGCAUAAAAAGUAAAAAUGAAAAUUCGCAAUAAUAAAAACUAUAACUGCAACACGCAACUUGUCUUUUCAAUCCUUACAUGAUUAAGUUCUUGUUUAAAACUUAAUCUCCUUCAACCCGUGGGCGAAGUACAAAAAUGUUGGGUCAAUUGCUCCAUCCUUGUAGUAAGCAAAGACUAGGCAGUCAUCAUCAUGCAUGCUCUCUCCCACAAAAAAUUGAAGGUCACUGAACCUUAAUGUGUCUACAAUGUCAACCACUUUGGCUUGAAUUUUGUUUUAUUUUGUUUUUAUAUUGCUUGAUUAUUAUUAUUUUUAUUAUUAUUAUUAUUAUUAUUAUUAUUUUGUCUUUUUUUUUUUAUAUUUACUUAUCUUUUUUUUUUUCCAAAAAUUGCUUGAAUUGACAUUCAAAUUUCCUUAUAAUUGGAUUUGGGUUUUUUUAUUUUAAUUGAGCUUAGGUUAUUUUAUUUUAAUCGAGUUAUGAGUAUUUAGAUUUUAAGUUGUGGACUUAGAUUUUAUUUUAUUGCAUUUGGGUUAUUUUAUUUUCAUUGAGCUUGGAUUAUUUUAUUUUAAUUGAGUUGUGGGUAUUUAAAUUUUAAGUUAUGGGUUUGAUUUAUUUUAUUUUAAUUGAGCUUGGGUUAUUUUAUUUUAUGGCUAUUUAGAUUUUAGAUUGUGUGUUUAGGUUAUUUUAUUUUAAUUGGAUUGUGAAAAUUUAGAUUUUAAGUUGUGGGUUUGGGUUAUUUUGUUUUAAUUAAGCUUGGUUUAUUUUAUUUUAAUUGGGUUGUGGGUAUUUAAAUUUUAAGUUGUGGACCUAUAAGAUUUCUUAAGGAGAAAGUAUUUAAAACUGUAUUUAAAGAACACACAAGGCUUAGGCAAAAUGGGAGGACAACUAGAGAGAGAAGAUGUAUUGCUACUUUGUUUUUUUUGUGUUCUUCUCUUAUUUUUCUUGGAGCUUCUUUCUUUCUUUACUGUAUAUUGUUGGUAAGAGAGAGUUUUUCCUUACUAUGUAUCUACUAUGGGGUUGUCCGUUUGUUUUUUUUAUAUUGUAUUUGUAUCUUGGAGUUGCCUUUGGAGGCUUGAAAAGUCAAGAUCCAUUUAGUGCUACAUUCAGGUAAAUUAUUUUUUCCUCAUCUAUUUAUUUGUAUUAUGUUUAUGUUCCUUUUAGGAUUUCUUAGAUUUAUCUUGUUUUAUAUUUCUUAUAUUUGUGAGCAUUUUGAUAAUUGAAUAUUUUAUCCAUCUCAUUUAUUCAGUUCUCUACCUAUUUGGGUUAUUUGUUCACUAUACUAUAUAUUUUGUAUAUAUGUACAUUUGUCAAACUUUUUCUACCCAUCUAUAUGUUUGUCAUUUUUAUUUAUUAUUAUUUUUAAAUAUGUAUUGACAUGUGUUACUAUACGUAUUUUGUUUCAAGUUUUCUAUAUUUGUGUAAUUUCUAUCCUAAAUUUUUUACAAUUCUAUUUAUGUUAUUCUUGUUGCCUCAUUUUUCAAUUUGUCUUAAAAUUUUUAUAAUUAUGUUUAUGUUAGUCUUGUUGCCUCAUAUUUCAUUAUGUCUCAAUUUUUUUAUUUUUUAUUUUGUAAUUAUGUUUACGUUAGUGUUUUUGUCUCAUAUUUUAUUUCAUGCGAUAUUUGGGUUUUGAUUUAUUUUUCUUGCAUGAGUUUUUUUUUUUAUUCAAUAAAAUUUCCAGAAAAAUCUGUUUUAAUAAAAUUUCCAGAAUAAUAGUUUUUAAUAAAUUCCAAAACAAUUUUCUUUAAUUAAUAAUCUAGAAUUUGGUUUUCCCUAAAACACAGAAUUUAUUUUAGCAGGUUUUUUUAAAUAGAAUAAUAUGGAAAAACCGUUUUUACUAAAUUCAAGAUUUUGGUUUAAUAUAAAAUAAUUAAAAAAACUUUUUUUAAAAAAAUAAAUUCAUAAAAUUCCUUUUUUAACAAAAUAAUUCAAGAAAUUCAUUUUUUUAGUAAAAAAAACCUCAAAGUUUGAAAGGUCCUAAAAGUUUUUUUUACUGAAAAUUCUAAAAAAUUGUGUUUUAAUAAAUCUUCAUUAGAAAAUUGUUUUUUUUUAAUAAGUUUGAAAAUUCUGAAAAUUGUGUUUUAAAAAAUGUUCUUUAGAAAGUCUUUUUUUUUUUAAUAAGAUCAAAAAUUCUAAAAAUUGUGUUUUAAUAAAUGUCCUUUAGAAAAUCAAUUUUUUUAAUAAGUUUGAAAAUUCUGAAUAUUUUGUUUUAAUAAAUGUUCUUUAGAAAGUUUUUUUUUUUAAUUAAUAAGUUUAUUUUUUGAAAAUUGUGUUUUAACAAAUGUUCUUUAGAAAAUUGUUUUUUUAUUAAGUUUGAAAAUUCUAAAAAUUAUGUUUUAAUAAAUAUUAUUUAGAAAGUUUUUUUUUUAAUAAUUUUGUUUUUUGAAAAUUGUGUUUUAAUAAAUGUUCUUUAACAAGUUGUUUUUUAAUACGUUUGUUUACUAAAAAUUGUAUUUUAAUAAAUAUUCCUUAGAAAAUUGUUUUUUUUUAAAUAAGUUUGUUUACUAAAAAUUACGUUUUAAUCAAUAUUUGUAGAACUAAAUCAAACAUUAAACCAGAAAAGUUAUCGAUUCAUGGUUCACUGAUCCGACUGGUGGUCAAACUAGUGACAUCAUAAAUAUAUCAUUUAUAUUUUAUUAAAAUUAAAAAUAAUUUUAAAAUAUUUAAAAAAUAUAAUUAAAAAUUGAUAAUAUUUAUGAUAUUAUUUAUUCAUUUUUAUAUAAAUGUAUUAAUAUUUUAAAUUUAAUAAACAAAAUAUAUACAAUAUUUAAAUAUGAAAAUGGUAAAAAAAAAAAAAAAUCUAUUUAAGUAUGAAAAAACAUUGAAAAUUAAAAAAAAAAUUAUGUACUUUAUAUUUUUGAAAUAGCCUAUGUACCUAUUUUUUGUUAAAUCUCAACACAUUCAAAGGUGCAAUAGAGUGGAGCAGUCAUUCCAUUGUGAACCUGUCAUCCCUGGUUCAAGCCCUCAUGCGGAAACAAAGUUGAUUGUUUCUUUAAAUCAAGUUAUUGAUCCCACAUUGGAAAUGAAGGGAAAAACUCUUUCCAACCAUCACAAACUGAUGGUUGUUAGGUUGUUGGGCCAUAAGGUUUGCUUAAUACAUGAUUUAGUGGUUGUGAAGGGGAUCUAGCCCAUUUUGCCCAAAAAAAAGCUGCUGGUGUUGAACCAUUCGCUUCUUCAAGAAUCGCCGGCUCACUCGGCCCAAUUGCCGCUUCAAGCGGUUCAACACCAGUCCAAUGGAUAGAUGGUUCAAAAAAGGGAACCAGACUAGAAAGAUCACUAGUCAAGUUCGACCCCUCCGCUCCAGUUUUCAAAACAAUGGUUUUAAUAAAUUUUUUUUUUUAGAAAAUCAUUAUUUUAAUAAGUUUGUUUAGUAAAAAUUCUCAAAAUAUGUGUUUAAAUAAAUAUUCUCAAAGUUUGUUUUCAUAAAAGUCUUAAAAGUUUUAAUAAGUGUCUUACUAAAUUCUCAAAAUAAGUGUUUUAAUCUUUAAAAAUCUCAAAAAUCAUUUUUAACAAGUUUUUAAAGUUUGUCUUAAUAAGUUCUAAAAGUUGUUUAAUAAAAACCUUCAAAGUUGGUCUUAAAAAUCCACAAAGUGUUUAAAUAAACUUUCUCAAAGUUAGUGUUUUAAUCAAAGUCCCUAAAAUUUGUUUUAAAUUAAAGUUCUCAAAAUUUUGUUUUAAAUAAAAGUUUUUUGAGUUUGUGCUUAAUAAAAUGUUCCAAAAGUCUGCUUAAUCAAAGUUCUAAGAUUUUUUUUUUAAUAAAAAAAAAAUCAAAAUAGUUUUAAUAAAGUUCUAAAUUUCGAUUUAAUAAAAAAAAAUCUUGAAAAUUGUUUUAAUUAAAAUCUAAAGAAAAUAAAAGUUGUAAAAAUAUAUUUUCUUACUAAACUGAAAUUUGGUUCCGUGAUUAAAUUAGGUAAACCUCAUUUUCCUUCUAAAAAUCACUUUUCCGAAAAUAGAAUUGAUUCUUUUUUAUAAUUGUGGAAUCUUAUUUUUUUUAAUAAAGUGUAAACCAAAAUCAUUUCUUUGUGAAUAGGAGAUCAUAUUGAAACUUUUCUCUUUAAUAAAUUCAAAUUCAAUCAAAAUUCUUUUAAUAAAAUCAAUAAAAGUCUUUUUUUAAAAAAAAAAAAUUUUGGAUGUGAAUAAAAAUCGAAUCUUUUGUAAAUAAAUUGAAACGUUGUGAGUAAAUAAGUUUGAAAUCUUUAAUUCGGAAUUUUUUCCUUUAUAAAUAAAAUUAUUUUGAACUUCCUUUGAAAUGUUCUAACUUUAACAAAUAAUUAAAUUCUAUUUUGUGUAUUUCACAUUCAUUAAUUAUGUACAUUCUUGUGUAUUCUUUUUUUCACCUCACCACUUAUAUAUAUCUUGUUGUCCUGUUAAUGGUAUUCUCGAUUAAUUAAUCAAUUGUCAAUAUUCCCUCCAUUCACUUAGUAGAGACCGUAAGUAUACAAGCUUAAAAGGGUGCUACGGAUUAAUCACCAUACCUUCACUAUAGAUAACUUAAUCCCCGGACUUAGACUCAGGUUUUUCAAAGAUAGGCUUUUCCAAAACUUAAGGAGUCAUUUUUCUUAGGAUUUUAGUUUCUUAUUUUAUUUCCCCUUUAAAAAAAAAAAAAAAAACAAGUGGCAACUCCGGUUUUUACAAAAAUACAGUUUCUUCAUGAAAAGAAAGCAAGUCUUACCAAUCAAAUGAGGGACGCAUGUGAAAAUUGUGGUUCCACAUAAACAUAAUGACCUUUGUUAUCCUUGGUAUCCAUGAUUUAUUAAUCAAUUGUCAUGUUUGCUUCAACCUAAUUAGUAGAGACCUAUUUUCAGGGCUUAGAAGGGUAUUACCUUUAUAGUACCUUCCCAAUAGGUAAUUUAACUUUCAAACUUAAAUUCAGGUUUUCAAAAACAUGUUUUUCCAAAAAUAAGGAGUUAAUUUUUUAGGGUUUUAUUUCUUAUUUUAUUUUCCUUUUUAAAACUAAAUAAAAAUAAGUGGCAACUCCAAGUUUUUAAAAAUCAAUUUUUCACUAAGAACACCAGUCUCACUGUCGAGUACGGACACACAUGAAAAAUGCAAGUCUACAUAUGCAUAUUGGAUGUGGAUAUUGGAGGCCACACACUUGAAUAUUAUUGGAUAUUUUGUUCUUUAUUUAUGGAGAUUCUUCUUUUUUUAUUCAUUUUGUUCAUCUAGAUUGUUUAAGAAAUUGCUUGAUCUCUUAAAUAAUUGGUUGUAUAGUGGGUUUCGAUGCUUUAAUUUAUUUGGUUUAUUCUUUUUAGGUUAUUUUACUCUUCUUUAAGCUCAUUGAUCAAAUGAAAUGAGGUUUUGUUUGGAUUUGAAAUCCUUAUAUAUAUAUAUAAAAUUUGAGAGCUACGAAGUGUUUGUUUAUUUGUCAAAGAGAUUUUCUAUAGAAAUGACACUUUGAAGCCUUUUUUUGCUCUUUCAGGUUUUCUUUGCAAAAUUUAUUUUUAAAACCCAUUUUCAAACUCUCUUUUGCUAAGUUUCGAGCAUCUUUUAAUGGUUAAUUUUGUUGUCCCAAGGUCAAGCCCCCUUCUAUAGGCUUUGAUCUUAACUUUAUACUUGAUAAAAUUGAUAGUUGCUCUCAUGGUUUUUAUGAUUUUUGAAAAGCUUGAUUUUUAAUAAACCAUUCUUGACCCUUUUAGUCUCUUUUCAUGGUCAAUUAAGGUUAAAUUAUGAUUAUUUUAUAGUUAUUAAUGGUUAUCAUGUUCUUUAGUACAUAAGGCAUGAUUUUGUUGAGAUAUUAGGAAUGUUUCCUUAUAUCAUUUAGUGUUGAGAUAUUAAGAAUGUUUAGAUAUUAGGAAAGUUGAGAUAUUAUGAAUAUUGAGAUAUUAGGAAUAUUGAGAUAUUAGGAAAGUUGAGAUAUUAGGAUAUUAGUUGUUAUUUCCUUAUAUCAUUCUUUCCUUGUAUCGUUCUUUCCCAUUCUUAGAAUGGUGAUUACCCUCUAUAUAUACUCUGUACAUGAACGAAUGAAAAUAUGAAUGAAAAAAUAUCAUUUAUCAAUUUCAACAUGGUAUCAAAGCCAUGGAACUGAAAUCCUAGAUAUUUUGUCGCUAUGGUAGUCCGACAGCGAUCAACCAUCCUAAGACAAGCCCUAAUAUUGAUAAGUCAACCUUCAAAUGCACUCAAUGCAAUAAGACUGAUCCCACCAGUCUGGAUAUCCCACAAUUUCAAAGCAACGACUCUUGGUACGACCAGGAAAAAAAUGAGGAACCGAGGGUUUGAACCAUGGACCUUUAGAUCAUGUUUAGGUUAUCAACACUUUAUUAUUAAUGAUAAUAAUCGUGAUCAAUGGAAGAAGGAUUCCAAGAAAACCUCGACUGCAACUGUUGCCGAAAUAAAAACAGAGGCUAAUGUUGCUGAGAAAGCCUCUGCAUUGGUAGCCGCUACAGAUCAUGGUGGUAAGUUUUUAAAUACUUUUACACCUGUUAUUAAUAGUGCAUGGAUAAUUGAUUCUGGUGCUACAGAUCAUAUGACUUUUGAUUCUAGACAGGUUUCACCCCUUAGACCUUCCUCACAAAAAAUUGUUUCCACAGCCAAUGGUAACACAACCCCAGUCAUUGGGGAAGGAUCCUUAACUCUUACUGAUACUUUGAAUUUGGAUUUUGUUUUAGUUGUUCCAUCUUUAGAUUACAAUCUUUUGUCAGUUUCUCAAAUCACUACAACCUUAUCUUGUAUUGUCAUUUUUUGGCCUGAAUUUUGUGUGAUUAAGGACAUCCAAACUAGACAGACGAUUGGUUGUGGUAUUAAGCGGGAAAAACUCUAUUACUUGGACUUGCAGUCAAAGGAUUCAAAUAAGUUGCAACAAGCCUUGAUGGCAGAUGGAUCUGAGGGGGAGAAAAAAAAAUCUGAAAUUUGGUUGUGGCAUCGACGUUUGGGACAUGCUUCCUUUGGUUAUUUAAAAAAAUUGUUUCCUAGUUUGUUUGCAAAGAGUGAUAUUUCUGGUUUCCGUUGUGAUAUUUGUGAAUUGGCUAAAAGCCAUCGUGCUUCGUUUCCAUUAAUUUUAAAUAAAAGUCUGUUUCCUUUUAUGGUUAUACAUUCUGAUGUUUGGGGUCCAUCCAAAGUCCCAACUUUGAGUGGCUCACGUUGGUUUGUUACUUUUAUUGAUGAUUGUACCAGAAUGACAUGGUUAUGCUUGAUGAAGACCAAAGAUGAAGUGAACUUGUUGUUUCAAAAAUUUCAUAAAGUGAUUGAAACUCAGUACAAUGCAAAGGUUCGGGUUCUGCGUAGUGAUAAUGGUGGAGAAUAUCAAAGUUCUGAUCUUCGAAAGUAUUUGGAAGGACAUGGCAUCAUUCAUCAAACUACUUGUUCCAAUACACCCCAGCAAAAUGGAGUCGCUGAACGAAAAAAUCGGCACUUGUUAGAGGUUGUUCGUGCUUCCUUGAUAGCAGCAAAAACACCGAUAUCUUAUUGGGGAGAAGCAAUCAGAUCUGCCGCAUACUUGAUCAAUCGGGUACCUUCUAGCUCAAUUAACUUUCAAACACCUCUCCAAGCUCUUACUAAUGUCGUAGUUGCCCUAACUGUCCCAAAUCUACCUCCUCGUGUUUUUGGUUGUGUGGCAUUUGUGCAUCUACACAAGCACCAACGCACCAAGUUAACUUCCCAUGCAUUGCAAUGUGUGUUUGUUGGAUAUGCAUUGCACAAAAAGGGAUAUCGAUGUUACCAUCCUCCAACUCGACAAAUGUAUAUUACAAUGGAUGUGGUGUUUCAUGAAGAUUCGAUGUAUUUUUCAUCUGAGUCUGAACUUCAGGGAGAAUACCGUAAGGAAAUUCAGACUCUUGAUUAUGAUUAUCAUAUCUCUGAGGAAGAUGAAUUUGGACAAUCUGAACUAGUGAACCAGGAAGUGGGUGAGUUGGAUAUAAGUAGUCAACAAUUUGGGUCCGAAGAUGUCUUCACUGAAAUACCAAACCAAUCGUCGUCUGUUGAGGGUGUUCUUAAUUUGGAACCUGAUCCAUUCAUGAAACGGUUACCACACCGUCAUAAUAAAGGUAUUCCUAAACCCACAUAUGAACCUGAAUUGUCUACCAAAGUCAAAUAUCCCAUGAGCAACUAUGUGUCUAACCAUCGUUUGUCUGAAUCAAAUAAGUCAUUUGUAAAUCAAUUAUCUACUAUAGCUAUUCCUAGCAGUGUGCAGGAAGCCUUAGCUGAUCCAAGGUGGAAAGCAGCCAUGAAUGAAGAGAUGAAAUCAUUGCAAAAGAAUGAAACAUGGGAACUCGUAGAAUGUCCACCAGGAAAGAAGCCAGUUGGGUGUCGUUGGAUCUAUACUGUGAAGUACAAGGCAGAUGGUAGUAUUGAACGAUUUAAAGCAAGACUGGUAGCAAAAGGGUACACUCAAACUUAUGGAAUUGACUACACAGAGACAUUUGCACCUAUAGCUAAGAUCAACACAGUUCGAGUAUUAUUGUCUUUAGUUGCAAACCUAGAUUGGCCAUUACAACAAUUCGAUGUGAAAAAUGCCUUUCUGCAUGGCGAGUUAUCUGAAGAAGUAUACAUGGAUCUUCCACCAGGAUGCAUGGUGCCAGAAAAGCAAUGUCAGAAGGUGUGCAAAUUGAAGAAGUCAUUAAAUGGGUUGAAGCAAUCCCCGAGAGCAUGGUUUGGAAGGUUCACAAAGUCAAUGAGAGCUUUUGGCUAUCGUCAAAGUAAUUCAGAUCACACUUUGUUCCUGAAAAAGCAACAUGGUUAGAUUACGGCACUCAUCGUAUAUGUGGAUGACAUGGUAGUUACAGGAAAUGAUCCUGAAGAAAGAAAAGCUCUGCAAAAUUAUCUAUCUAGAGAAUUCGAAAUGAAAGAUCUAGGUUCUCUGAAAUACUUUCUUAAGAUUGAAGUUUCUCGAUCAAGUGAAGGAAUUUUUCUGUCUCAAAGAAAGUAUGCCUUAGAUCUUUUACAGGAGACUGGAAUGUCGGGAUGUCAACCUGUUAAUACACCAAUAGAAAAAGGUCUGAAAUUAUGUGUUGAGCCUAAUCAAGUAUCAACCGAUAAGGGAAGAUACCAGAGACUUGUGGGGAGAUUAAUGUACUUAGCUCAUACAAGACCAGAUCUUGCGUAUGCAUUGAGUGUAGUGAGUCAAUACAUGCAUAAUCCUGGAGAGCAACAUAUGAAUGCAGUCAUGCGUAUUUUGAGGUAUUUGAAGAAUGCUCCUGGGAAGAGAAUUUUGUUUGCUAAAAAUGUUGAUCAUUAGAGUAUGGAAGUAUAUACUGAUGCUGAUUGGGCUAGUGUAGUGGAUGAUAGGCGAUCUACAUCUGGUUACUUUACCUUUUGUAGGUGGUAAUCUUUGUGACAUGGAAAGUAAGAAGCAGAAUGUCGUCGCUCGUUCAAGUGCAGAAGCGGAAUUUAGAGGUAUGGCUCUAGGACUUUGUGAGGCCCUAUGGCUAGAACUCUCUUACGGAUUAGGUAACCNNNNNNNNNNNNNNNNNNNNNNNNNNNNNNNNNNNNNNNNNNNNNNNNNNNNNNNNNNNNNNNNNNNNNNNNNNNNNNNNNNNNNNNNNNNNNNNNNNNNNNNNNNNNNNNNNNNNNNNNNNNNNNNNNNNNNNNNNNNNNNNNNNNNNNNNNNNNNNNNNNNNNNNNNNNNNNNNNNNNNNNNNNNNNNNNNNNNNNNNNNNNNNNNNNNNNNNNNNNNNNNNNNNNNNNNNNNNNNNNNNNNNNNNNNNNNNNNNNNNNNNNNNNNNNNNNNNNNNNNNNNNNNNNNNNNNNNNNNNNNNNNNNNNNNNNNNNNNNNNNNNNNNNNNNNNNNNNNNNNNNNNNNNNNNNNNNNNNNNNNNNNNNNNNNNNNNNNNNNNNNNNNNNNNNNNNNNNNNNNNNNNNNNNNNNNNNNNNNNNNNNNNNNNNNNNNNNNNNNNNNNNNNNNNNNNNNNNNNNNNNNNNNNNNNNNNNNNNNCUCAUUACUCCAAUUUUUAUUAAGGUUGCUCAAUUAUUUAAUCAUUUUAAGGUAUAUUUGUUUUAAAUUGUAAUUAAUUUUGUUUGCAAUUGUAAUUAAUUCAUGUAUUUUCAAUUAAUUAGUAUGUUUGCAAUAUGGAUGAUUUAAUGUUAUUUUUACAUUUAAUUGUAAUUAAUUUUUAUAUUUUUAUUGAAUUAACUUAGGUUAAUUUGAUUAUUUAAUUAUAAAUUGAUAUGUUUAUUUUAGAUGAUUAUUUGUGAUUUAUUUUCACAUUUAGAAUUAAAUUAAACUAGUUAACUUAGCUAAAUUAUUUAAUUAAUUUAAUUAACAUGAUAAAUUAUUUAAUUAAUUUAAUUAACAUGAAUUAUUAUAUUUUGAAUAUGAAAUAUGUUAAUUUAAUGAAAUGAAGUAUUUUAUGUGACUUUAUAAUGAGAACAAUUACAAAAUUAACAUUUCUUAUAGAUCGACAUGAUAUAAUUAUAUCUAAUAUCACAAAUUAUAUCAUACGUAUAUCAAAUUUUUUUCAAUAAAACAACUUUCAAAAUGUCCAUUAUACUUCUAAUUAUAUUAUUAUGAGGUUUUCUUGCAUUUCCAUGAGUUUUUAACAAUUUUAAGCCUACCGAUAUUUUUUUCCAGAAUAUCCGCCGAUAUAUCUCCGAUAUAUUCGAUAUAUCCGUAAAAUCGAAGUACCGAUAUAUCCGUGAUUACCGAUAUUUUCAUCCUUGGUUAAUCCAUGACACAUUCAUUUGGCCUACAUCACUCAUUUUUAUAAAACUCCACAUUCAUUGAUCUCUAACUUUUUGCCCACUUGUUGCCCUGUUUUUUUACCCCCAAAGUGUUUCUUUUUUGCAAAUUUGGACUUUUUAGCUUGUCCUAAAAUAUUUUUGAGUCUUAUAAUAUGUUUUAGACUUCUUAAAUUUAUCAAAGAAUUUUUGUUUUGUUGAAAAAUCCUUCUCCAAACUUGUUAAACAAAUUAGUUUUUCCAAGUGUCUAGAUUCUACCAUGUUUUGUACCUCCAAAAUGUUUUGAAAAUUAGUCUUAACUCAUAGGUUUAAUUUUUUUUAUAUUUUUUUUUCUGUAUUUUAGACUUCUUAAUAAGGUUUUAAAUUUUGGUUUCAUUUAAAAAUCAUUUUUCAAGCUUGUAAAUUAAUUCCAUCUUGUUAUGCUUGUUGUAUUAACCUAAAUAUGGUGCUAUGAUUUGUUCUCUAAAAUUUAGGAUAAUCAGUACAUGUUUGGGCCCCAUGGAAUUUUUGCAUGUGUUCUAGACACUUUAAAUAUACUUUUAAAUUUUUGUUUUAAUUUUAUCUAGUCUCUAUGCUUGUUGAAUAAUUUCCUUUUUACAUGACUUGUUGUUCUACCUUACUUUUUAGCAAUAAUAUGUUUGGUUAAUUAUGGGAUGGUUGGUGCACUGACUUUCAAAUUGUAUUUUAGGCACUUUGAGUAUAUUGUAGAAUUUUUUGUUUGAUUUUAUCUUAUGUCUAUCUAUUUUAUUUAGAUUUAUUUUAUAAAUAUUUAUUUUCUUUCCUAUUUAUGUACCAUGUAAAUUUCUUGUUAAUUCAACCCCUUUCAACUUAUUUUUAAACUUAUUUAACUCUUGCUUUGUAUCAUAUACAUCUUGUACAUGUUAGUCAAACCUUCCUUUAUAUCAUAUUUCCUCUUUAUCUAUUUUAUUUGGAUUUAUUUUGUGGUUGUAUCUCUAUUGUCCUAAUUUGAUCCCUUUACAUGUUUAGUGUAAUUUUGGUCCACUUUGAUGUUAGUUUAGCUAUCCUUGAUCAUUGAUUUGAGUAGCGUACAUCUUAUAUAUAUGGUUCUUGCUUUGAUAUCAGAUCUUUUAUCUUACUUGUGAGCUAAUCUUUUUUUCCUUGUAUAGACACAUUGGCCUCUUUUGGCCAUUUUUUAGGAACGCUCCCUUCCUUUCUUGUUUUUUUUAUUCCUUUGAUUUGUAUGUUAUGCUAUGAGUAUUCAUUAUCUCUUGCUCUUGUUUAAUAUCACCAUUGCUUUGUUGUUGUUUCUUGAUCCACUAUUUCAUUAGUCAAUUGCUUAAGUUACCUCCACUUGUUUAGUAGCAACUUCUUUAGAGCUUAAAGAAGUGCUACUCUGUAGUACAUUCCCAAUAAGCAACCUAACCCUUAGAUUUAGACUCGAUUUUCGUGUAUUUUGCUUUUCUUUUUAAUAGGAGUCACUUAGAGUUUUAUUUUUUAAUUUGUUUUCCUUUUUUAAAAAAUAAAAAUAAGUGGUGACUUCAAUAUUUUCAAAAAUUAGUUUUUACAAUAAAAAACGAGUAUCUCCAUUAAGUAUAGAUGUACAUGAAAAAUGCGGGACCAUACUAAGACUACAAAAUUUGCUUAUAAUUGAUACAUAUUUAAUGAUUUAAAAUUAUGUUAAUGACUUAUUUGUAAUAAUUUGUAUCUAUAAGUUAAACGGAUUAUGUGGGUUAUAUUAUUUAUAUAAUAAAUCAAUUAAUUUGUGAUUUUGAUGUGAUUAAUAAUAUUGAAAUUAACUUAAAUAUAUCUUACCUUACACAACAUAGAUAAUGUGACAGUCACUACCACCCAAAAUUGAUAAAUUAAAUUUCCUUUUCUUGGUUAUACUUUUAUAUUAUGUUUAGUUUUAAAAAAAUUAUUAAAAAAGAAAAAAAAUUACUAAAAGUAAUGUACUUAUGAUUGAUUUUAUUAUAAAAAAUACAAAUAAAAAUCAAAUAUAAUUCAAAGGAAAAUAUGUAUUUUUAAAUUAUUUAAUUUACUUUUUAUAUAAAAGAAUUAAAAUAAAUCAAAUAAAUUUAAAAUGAUAUAUAAAAAUAAUUAUUUAACUUUAAAUCUAUUUUUUUCUCACUUUUUAUUUUCUUUCCAUCUCUCUCUAAUAAUUUGUUGGAUGGAAUGAUUGGCAGUGUGAUGAGUAUGUUGUUGUAGAGCCUCAAUAUUUGACCAUCAUCACAACCACAUGCACUCAUUACAUUCCUACGCUAUUGUAAGUUCUUAAACAUCUCAAAUAUACUCCAUUAUUGGCUCCGCGUAUAGUUAUUAAUUCGCAGCAAGCUAACGAACAAUUGGCCUUGGCCUUACUUACAACAUCAUGAUUAUGAUAUUUUCCCCUCCAUUUAUGACCAUUAAAAUAACAUCAAGAUCCGUUGGCAAGUUGCUAAAACUCAAGUCACAACCUCAAACAUUUUAAAACCCAAAUCACAUCAAAGCCUAAAUUACAAUAAAGCUAAAGUCACACUAAAUUUAAGUUAAGGUCCGUCCACAUUACAUACAUCGAAAAUAAAAUUAAGAUAAGACCAAAGUCAAAUUAAGACUUAAAACCAAAUUUAAGAUAAGACUCAAAUAAAUUCAAGUUAUUUAGAAUCAAAUUCCUUUAACUCUAGGAUGAAUGACAACUAUAAUGUGUAGUACACUUUAUUAUAGUGGAGUUCGAAAAAGAAAAAAAGGAAAAAAGGAAAAAGGGAAAAAAGGAAAAUCAAGUGAUGUUGGGUUGAAAAAGGGAAAAUCAUGUGGUGUUGGGUGACAUAUCAUAUCAGAGUUUGAAAGAAAAAAAAAGGUAAUCAUGUGGCAUUAGGUUACGUGGGUGAUGGCAUCAACCCUUCAAAUACAAAGGAAUAAUUUUGUAAUUUUGUAAUGGUAGAUAGCAUCAAUCAUUCACUUGAUAACUAACCUAAUAGUAAGUUUAGAGUGAGACAAAAAAAAGUUAAAAAGAUUUCACCACGGAAAAUUCCAACUUAUGUGUGAGAUGAUAGGACAUCACCCCGACUUACCUCAAAGUCAUCAAUUCAUGAAUCUCUCUCUUUUUAUCUUUUUUGGACUGUCCUACCUUGUUUUCGGACCUUCAAAAAAUAUCAGUCAUGUUCUACAUUUACUAUCUCACGUUUCCUAUAAUUUUUAUUCUAAUCCAAGUUCUUUUUUCUUGAUUUUUCCAUACUCUUUGGUUUUACCAGUAACUUUAACGUGCUUUGCACGUUUGCUAACCAUGAAUAAAAGACCUGAUUAAAAUAAAUUCGGUUUUAUCAUUUAAAAGAAGAAAAGAAAAAAGUGGAAAAAUAUUAGAGAGAAAAUUGAGAGUGUAACAAAUAAAAGUUUUCAUAUUUUUAAUGUAUAUAUGAAAAAAAAAAAUGUUUUCAGAAUUGAACCGAUCAUUGAAUCGAAAAAGUUAUCGAUUUAUGAUUUUAGUCGAACCGACAGUCGAAUUGGUGAUGUCAUAAAUAUAUAUUUUAUAUAUUAUUAAAAUUAAAAAUAAUUAUAAAAAAUUAAAAUAUAUAAAAAUAAAUUAAAAAUCAAUAAUAUUAUUUUUUAUAUCUUUAUAUUAUCAAUUUAAAUCAUGCAUAAGUAUAAAAAUAUUAAUUUAUUUUCUUUUGUUAGUUUUAUUAAGCAUAUACAUAAGAUUCAGGGUUCAAGUGCCUAAACUAUCAAACUAUCACUAGGAUAAAUGUAAAACGAACAUGUAAAAGUUUUAAAUAGUAUAAUUCCAGACAAAAUCACUGUUCAACAACAAUGAUUCUAGACAAAAAAAAUGUUCAUCGACAAUGAUGCACAGUAAGAUGCUGGACAAAAAAACUAUUCAUUUACAGUAAAAAUUCGGAACAAAAUCACUGUUCACCAUAUCGAUGUAUUAUAAAAGAUUCCUGCCAAAAAUCACUAUUCAUCACUAUAUAUGUAACAUUCCCCGUAUAAAAAAUAAAAAGUAAAAAUGAAAAUUCGCAAUAAUAAAAACUAUAACUGCAACACGCAACUUUCCUUUUCAAUCCUUACAUAACCCGAUUAUUGUUUAAAACUUAAUGGGAGAAUUGUAUUUUGGGUUCAAUUAGAUCAAAAAAUUAACAUUUGGUUCAUAUAUCAUGCAUAUUUAAACCUAAAAUCUAAAUAAAAUAUAAAAAUUAAGUUGAAAGAUAUUAUAUUUUAUUAAUCCCUAAAAUACCCUUAACCCUUACAUAGAUACAAGUGAGUGUGGAUUUUAAUUUUUUUAUGUUUUUUUUUCCUUUUCUAUUCCCUAUUAAUUAUUACUCAUUUCUAACUUUUUUUUUCCUUUUUCUUCCAAUCUACUUUUCUAUUUUAUUUCAAAUAAAAAGUAAUAAUAUUUUUUUUGUUUUUUCUUUUUUAAAGNNNNNNNNNNNNNNNNNNNNNNNNNNNNNNNNNNNNNNNNNNNNNNNNNNNNNNNNNNNNNNNNNNNNNNNNNNNNNNNNNNNNNNNNNNNNNNNNNNNNUUUAUAUUUUCUACAUUAACCAUAUUUAAAAAAAUUAAAAAUUGACUAUCACUUCACUUUAUUAUAUAUAUAUAUAUAUAUAUAUAUAUAUAUAUAUAUAUAUAUAUAUAUAUAUAUAUAUAUAUAUAUAUAUAUAUAUUUUUAUCUUUUUAUUUUUUUAUGUUUUUAUUUUAAAACUUAUAAAAAUAUAUAUUUAUAGAAAAAAAUAAAAAAUAUAUAAAGUUCUAAUAAUAUAUAAAUAAUUUUUCAUAUAUAAAUAGACAAAUGAAAAAUAUUUUGACUCACAACAAGAAAAGUGUCAAUACAAUUUUUUAGUUAAACUUUAGAAAUUAAAUUUCAAAGAAAAUAUAUUAUAUAAAAUUUUAUCUAAAAAUUAGUGAGAGUGGUAUUUAUUUUUUUUUUAUUGACUUUUACACAUAUCUAAUUUUUUACGUGAGAGGUAAGAGAAUAUGUUUACAAAAAAAAAAAAAAAANNNNNNNNNNNNNNNNNNNNNNNNNNNNNNNNNNNNNNNNNNNNNNNNNNNNNNNNNNNNNNNNNNNNNNNNNNNNNNNNNNNNNNNNNNNNNNNNNNNNUAUAUUUUCUACACACACCCUAUAUAAAAAAAAUAAAAAAAGACUCUCUCUCCUCUUUUUUUUAUAUAUAUAUAUAUAUAUAUAUAUAUAUAUAUAUAUAUAUAUAUAUAUAUAUAUAUAUAUAUAUAUAUAUAUCCUUUUAGCUUUUUAAUUUUUAAUGUUUUUAUUUUAAAACUUUUAAAAAGAUAAAUUUAUUGAAAAAAAUAACUAAGAUAUGAAGUUCUAAUAUUAUAUUAAUAAUUUUUCUUAUCUAAAUAGACUAAUGCAAAAUAUUUUGACUCACAACAAGAAAAUUGUCAAUACAAUUUUUUAGUUAAACUUUAGAAAUUAAAUUUCAAAGAAAAUAUAUUAUAUAAAAUUUUAUCUAAAAAUUAUUGAAAGUGGUAUUUAAUUUUUUUUUAUUGACUUUUAAACUUAUCUAAUUUUUUACUUGAAAGGUAAUAGAAUAUGUUUACAAAAAAAAAAAAAAAAAUAGUUUUUCAUUUUUUAAAUAAAUGAGUAUAAAUAUAUUAAAAGAAUUAAAGAUAAUCUUAGUAAAAAAUUUGAUAAAUAUGAUUAUAAUUUUAAAUAUGAUUCUUUAUUUCAAACUUAUAUUAUUUCUCAUAUAUAUUAAAUAAUUUUUAAACACCUCAUAAAAUAUUAGUAUUAUUUGUUUGUUCUAACUUGUAAAUUAGGUAUCAUCAAAUAUUAUAUUUUUUUUUUCAAAUUUAUAGAAUAUAUAAUAAAUACUUUUUAAAUACUUCAUACAAUAUUAUUAAUUUUUUUUUCUAACUUGCAAAUUAGACACAUGGUGUUUAUUAUUUCGAAAAUAAUGUAAACACUCACACACACACACAUAUUUUUUCAAAGUAAUAAGAUAAAAAUUAUGAAAUCUUCAAAACUAUAAUUACAACAAAUAUUUUUAAUUUUAAAACUAAUUUCAUAAUUUAAAUUAAUGAUUUAAAAAAAUAAAAAUGUUAUAAAAAUAAUUUUUGUUUAUUUUUAAUUCCAUUUAAAUAUGAUUUUUUUAAUCUCUAUUGAUAACAAUGAAAUUAUGUUUAUAAAGGCAAAAUAGUAAAAAUAUAUAUUUCAUUUAGUUUACUUGUAAUGAACAAUUCAAACAUGAUUGAUUUAAUUUUAUUUCAUGUGUUAAUUUUUGUAGAGAAUGUCUUAAUAACAUAGUUUGAUAAAAAAAAAAAAAAAAAAAAAAAACUAUCAAUAAUCGUCUUAAUGUCAAAUUCAAGUUGUUUAAAAAUUGUACAAAACCUAUUAGAAGUCUUGUACACCCUUGUACACUUAGCACAUUUCCCUUGUACAAUUAGUGUAAUAUCCUUGUAUAAUGACACAAAUUUCAUAUUUAUCAUAAGUUAUAUGUUCAUGUAAACGUAUUAAUCAUAUUUUCAAUGGUUUUGUUAAGAAAAUAGUGGAUGACUUAGGAUCAAUUUUUUUUCCCCCAAAUAUCAUUAUUGGGGAAAUUAUUAGAAUUUCCAUGUGAGAGUUAAAUAAAAUGAAUGACAUAGGCGUACAACCCUUGGGUGACAAGGAAAAUAAAAAAGUGGUUUAGAAUUGAUUAAAAUAAUUUACAAAGGGUAAUCUUGUAUACCUUUAUACCAUUAGUACAUUUCCCUUGUACAGUUAGUGUAAUACCCUUGUACAAUGACACAAAUUUCAUAUCCCUCCUAAGUUAUGUGUCCAUGUCCAUGUAUGAGUGUUUAACCAUAUUUCCAAUUAUUUAGUUGAGAAGAUGGUGGAUGACUUAAUGUCAAAUUUUUUUUCCCCAAAUAUAAUUAUUGGAGAAAGUAUUGGAAUUUCUAUGUGGGAAUUAAAUAAAGUGCAUGACAUAUAUGCAUAAUUCGUGAGUAAUAAGAAAAAUAAAGGAAUGACUCAUAAUCUUUUAUAAUAUUUCACAAAUGGUAGCCUUGUAUGCCUUUGUAUAUUUAAUACAUUUUUCUUGUACAGUUAAUGUAAUACAAUUGUACAGUGGCGCAAUAAAUGAAUAAAUAAUUUUUUCUCAUAUAAAUAAAAGUAUUAAAUAAGGUUUUCAAUUUUCAUUUUUAAAAAUAGAUUUCAUUUUUUAAUUAAACAUAUUUUCAAAAAGAGACAAUAUAGAAAAUAAUUUUUUUAAAAAAAUAAAAUAAAAAAUAAAAACUAGAAAAAUAUUUUAAAACCAAACUCAAAUAUAAUCUAUAUAAUUUUUAGUUACUUGUUUUCAUCUAAAAUAAGUAAAUAUACCUUUCAACCUUUUUAUAUAAGAAAAAUUCGAUCUCUACUAUAUAUUAAUAUAAUUCACUUCUAAAAUUAGGUCAUAUGAAAACAUUUUAAUUGAGUACUUAAAAUAAAAACUCUUCAUCCAUCCUCUUUAUUUCUUUUUCUUUUUCUUAUUUUAAUAAAUUUUCAAUUAAUUAAAAUCAUUAAAAAAAAUCCUUAAUAAACAAAUUUAUAACAUUUCAUAUAACUUAUUACUAAAAGUCAUGUUCAAAAAGUUAUUAAAAUAAGGAAGGAAGAAGAUUAAAAAAAAAAAUUUAAAUACUUUUUAGUAUAAAAAAAUUAAAAUAGUGAAUAUAUUUAUUUUAAAUGGUAUUUUAAUCAUUAAAUUAUUUACUUCUAAAAUGUAAAAGAUAAAAAUAACUGUAAAAGAUAAUUUUUAUUUAUUUAAAUUAAUAUUUUUUUAGAAACUAUUUUCCAAAAUAGUCUUUGAAUCAUUAAUAUAAUUUUUUUUAUUUAUAAUUUAAAAAUAAAAAAUAAUGUUAAUUGUUCAAUUAUUUAUAAAAGAGUUUAAAAAAUAAUGAAAAAUCAAAAAAUGGUUAAAUAAGAAAGAAUAGUGGCAAGUAGUAAAAUAAAGACAAAAAUGAGUCAAGUGAGUAUUUUUGUCAAUUACUAUCCCAUAUCCUUAUCAUCAAUUAUGGGUGGUUGGAGGACCUCAUCUUAAUUAUGAACCUUAUAUGGGUUGAAAACACAAUUGUCUCAAACUUAAUCUCCUUCAACUCGUGUGGGCGAAGUACAAAAAUGUUGCGUCAGUGGCUCCAUCCUUGUAGUAAGCAAAGACCAGGCAGCCAUCAUCAUGCAGGCUCUCUCCCACAAAAAAUUGAAGGUCAUUGAACCUUAAGGUUGUUUUGGAAACAUUUAUAAGAAUAAUGAAAGGUUGGUCUUGUGACUUUGAAAAAAACAUUUUCAAAUUGAAAAAUGAUGACAUUGUUGAAGAGACAAGAGAUGAAAUUGAUAAAGAUGAAGUUAUUCUUGAUGUUGAUGUUGAUGUUAAUGUUUCUCUUGAUGUUGAUGUUUCUCCUAUCUUCUUUCCCAAAGUAGAAGAAAAUAAAAGUUGAGAAAUUUUUGUUGUUUAUUGAUUAAAAUAUUGGAGAGUAUGAUUGGUGUAAUGUAAUUGUUGUUGGACUUGUUUAACAUCUUUGUAAAUUAUGGGAUAAAUUCUAAUGAUUUUUUGAAUAAGGACCACCCAAUCAAUCACAAAGGGACUUACUCUCUCUUUGCCCUUCAACACCACCUUCACUCACAAAAAAUUCAAUUUGAACUAACUUCGAACUUAAUUAAUGAUUACAAACUAUUCCAAAUCAUAAUAUUACUUACAUCUUUAAACGAAAUUUGACUCUGAUACCAUUUCAACCCAAAACAUAAAAUAAUUCAUAAAUCAAAAUAAAAUUCUAUAAAUAAAUAUAUAAAACAGAAAUAAAAGACAUAAAUAAAGACACAAGCCAAGUUUUGCAUCUAAAGUUUUAACUGAUUUCAUAUUUAAACCUUCUUUUCAAAGUUCAAAAAUUUCUUCUUUCAUUUCAAAUAAACAUAUGUAUGACUUAAAAAUCGAAUAGCACCCGAACAUCUAAAACCUUCAUAAUUUUUUUUAUUAAAAACAAACAAGUAUUAAAUUUUUAGUUAAUAAAAAAAUUAUUAAAUAGCAUAGAGUAUUUUAUGAUGCAUGCAAGACAUUAGGAGUGAAAGGUAUAUAUUAGAAUCCGUAUGACAUAUUAAGAAUCUUUAGUGAAUAAAUUAUUAAAUUAUUUUUUCUAUAAAAAAGAGUAAUAUAUAUUAAAAAUACAUAUAUGGAAAGGCAAAGUUUUGAGAAAUAUAGAAAUAUAAAAAUAAUUAAAUAAAUAAACUGUUUAAAUUCAUUGUAAAAAAGAAUAAUAUAUAUAAAAAAAAUGAAAAGAAGAUUAAGAGGAGUAUGGAAAUAGAAAAUUUAAAAUUUAAAGGAAUAUUGGAAUAUGGAAUAAAAAUAAAAAUAUUGAAAUAGGAGGUUGAGAGAAAUAUGGAACCAGAAGGUCAAACAUAUUAAGAAUUUUUAACAAAUGAAAAGUAUUUUAUAAUGCAUGGAUAUAUAUGGAACUUUCAAUAUGUGAAAAGAAGUGUUUAGGGAUGAAAAAUUCUUCAAAUACUUCUAAAUUUUCAAAUUUAUAAGUACUAUAGAUUUUUUUUUAAAAAAAAUAGAAAAUAUAAAUAAUUUUUAAUUAUAUUUUAAUUUUUGAAAAUAUAAACAUAUUCAAUGAUUCUAAUUUUAUUUUUUGUUUGCAAAAAUAAAAAGUAUAUUUAAUAAUUAUAUAACAAAAAUAAUAAAAAAAUUGACAUCUUUUCAUAUUUUUAGAAUUUUUUUAGUAAAUUACAACAAUAUUUUAAUAUAUACUUAUGGUACCUUAAUAUUCUUAAUGUGGAAAAAUUAUGAAUGCAAUACUUUCUUGUUUUUAAUGAUUUUAAAAGGAAAAUCUUCUCUAUUAUACCUUCAUUUUUUUUAUUUUUUGAAUAUUUCUAUCAAAUUUUGAACUUAAAAAAAUAAAACAAUCCAUUAAACAUGUUUUUUAUAAUUAUUUUUAUACUUUUAAUUAAAAAAAAUGCAACCAAACAUACCGUAAAUUAAAGGUGGUUACUUCAAUGGGAAUCUGGAAGCUGCACCCAAUAGAUGGAAGGAAGCAUAGGGGCCUUGAUGGGGGAUCACUUGAACACACGGUUCAAAAUCUCGGUCGAGACCGGUACGACUCGGCCGAGUCGUAUCCGCCUCGACCAUGGCCGGUACCGGACCGAUACCCGAGUUGGAGUAGAAAUUGUGGAGAAGAUCAGAAUCAUCAGAUGAGAGGAUCAAAACCCACGAAAAUGAAAAAUACAGAGUUAGAACCCUGCAUCUUGGAGUCGCCGGCGAGGUUGAAGAAGCACGCCUGCUUAUUCGGAUUGCCCAUUGCCCAAGUUCCCGCCGGAGAUGGAACUGAGCGACAUGAGGAGCAGAGUCGUCGGACUUCGGCACCGCUGUUAUCAUCGACGGUCCUGAUGGGUUUGCAGUCGGGACAAACUGUGUUAUGGAACUUCUGCAAGGAUUUGCCUCCAGUGAUCAUGUAGGCUGACAUCCCACUUCUACAAUCACCUGUUGAGGCACCACAAUCCAGAGGGGCAGAGGCCAAGCUUUUCACCGAAGGCAUGCUGUCCUAACUCACUCUCAAAUCGCUUUCCAAAACCAUUUCACGCCGGAGGGUUAUGGGUAUUUGGAGGAUUUAGGUUUUAAAUAAUUUGUAUUUAUUUUUUAAUUAGAUUAUGAGUAUUUGAUGGGAUAUGGAUUUUAAAUAAUUUGAUAAAAAUUAUAAUGAUAAAAAAUAAAUAAUAAAUAUUAGACUUAUAUCAAAUAAAUAUUUAUAUAAAAAUUAAAAUUAAUGAAUACAUUUUAUAAGAAAAAUUAUAUUUAUUUUUUUAAAGAUGAAUUAUGGUUUUAUUUUUUUAAUAAUUGAAAACAUUUUUAAAAAAAUUCAAAAUAUUUAAUUUAAAUAAUUUUUUACUAAAAAAUUUACUUUUUAUUAUUUUCAUCUUCAAUAAGAAAUAUUUAUCAUCAAGUAAUUAAAUUAAAAUAUUUUUAAAGAUUUUUAAUAUUAUUAUAAAUCAUCCCAAAAAUAUGCUUUUAUUAUAAUUUGAAUAAUUUUAAUAUAAUAGAAGUUUAUUUUAUUAAUUUUUUUACUCUACUUAUUUGUAUUUUAUUUUUUUUAAUAAUUUUCAUAAUUUUUUAAAAUUAUUUUGAGCUCUUAAAUUAAAAUUUUUUGCGUAUCACCCGAUACCGAUCCGAGAUACCGAGACCGAUGUGCCUCAGGACCUCCCGAGUCAAUGACCGAUACCGCGACUUUGAACCCUGCUUGAACACCAAGAAAAUAGAUUAUUUUUUAGUUUUCUUGUUAAUUUGCACUCUCUUUUUUUCAUUGUCUUAAUGCAAUCAUACAUGUAAUAACGUGGCUUGUAUUCUAAGAAGUCACAUUUGUCAAAACUAGAGCAAGAAAAAGAUAGUUGUCGUGUAUUUUUUUUAAUCAAUUCAUAUAAUAAUAAAAUGUGACAAUGAUUUAUGUAACCUGACUCACAAAAAUGGUUGGUAUGGUUCAAUCUUUUGGCACGUCAUUCACGUACGUGGUCCCUAAUGUUUUUCCUCUGUUUUCGGUUAUAAACGUGAUUCCUUGCGAACGUGAUUUCAAAUGAGAAAGAAUCUGAGUAAGGUACAAACCCACCUGGCUGCAUAGAGUUGGAAGCUACUUUUGUUUUACAUGGACCUUUUCAUUAGUCUGAAUGGGUAGGGCCACUUCACCUAAAUUAUUCAGAUAUUUAGAAUGUUGUGUUUGAAUCUUAGAAAAUAUCAAGGAAAAAGGAAGUGAACUAUUAUAAAUGAAUUUAAAAUAUAUAUAUAUAUUUUUUCAUUUUCACAUACCUUAGGGUUAAAUGUUGGAGUUGUCUUCGGAUGUCCAAGUGGGCUCACCAUCUAACCCAAUAAAUAAGAAAAUUGGAGUGUAGUUUCUGGAAGUGUUGAAAUUACCCAAAAACUAUCAUUAUUAAAAAAUAAAAAAGAUAUAUUUUUUUUUCUAAAUUAAAUGUCUUCUAUCUUAGUUUUUUUUUAGUUUUCUUUGUGAAAACAAAAAUCGAGACUCUUAUGUUGUUGAAAAGAAUGAUUCUCGUAUUUAUAAUUUCAUUUAUGAUUUGAGAUGAGAAAAUUGGUUAGUGAAAUAACCAAUUGAGAUUUCUUAAACAUUUUAGAAAAUAAUCCAAAAGUCUUAUUUUACAUCACCAACAAUCUUCCCUACUUUUUUUUUUCCUUUUCCAACUCAUUGUCAAAAAAAAUUUCGCCUAAUGAACCUAUAUUAUGUUACUCAUCAUCAAUAGUACUUUGAUUAUAGGUAGAUAUCAGUGUAGUUUUCCCCUCUUUAUUUCCAUUUCCUUUUUCACCCUCCUUAUUUUUUGUUUUUUGUUUUAUUUUUUUGUUUUUUCAUAUUUUACAUGUUUAAUACAUUUAGCCAUAUGUUUCAAGAUUCUUUUUUCGAAAUAUUUCCAAAAGAUGCCUUUCUAAAGCUAUGAUCUUACACAAAUGGGUAUGCAAUGAAGUGAAGCAACUCAAAUUGAAUGGGUGCAAGGUCGUAAGGAUGUAAGCUUAAAUUAAUGGGUGCCUUGAAAUCUAUAAAUCAGACAAAAGGGUUGUUAUUUUAUUUAUUCAUUCAACUUCAAUUCUUUGCAUCCUUUUGCAUAUUUCAAUAUUAUUCCAUUUUCUUUUUACACCAAAAAUUCCUAUGUACUAUGAUUUUGUAGAAACAAUAUAUAGAUUAUGGACAAACUUACUAUAUUUUGAAGGUAUUAGGGAUUUUUCUUUCAGUACACAAUACAGAUAGACAACCAUAACUUCAUUGUAUCCUAGAGACAUAUGUGAUAUACUAUUGUGCAUAAUAAAAUUGGUGGGGAUAAAUAACAUCCUAAGGAAAUCGACAUUAUAUCAUGCCUUGAAGCACUCUAGUUUCCAAUUUUAUUAUUUAUAUUAUAUGCAUCAUACCUUCACUAUGUACUACUUCAACUUCAAUAUUACGAUACUCACAAUUUUUCUCUAACAAUAUGAAGACAUUAUUAUGGUAAAAUGGCAUCGUUGUCACCUCUUUGUGAGUUUUCUGUUGAUUGUUUUACGGAAAAUUUUAUAUUGUUUGCUUCAAGGGUUAAUAGGAAAGGCUACAUUUUUUGCUAGCAAGAAGAAAUUUUUGCAGAAACUUGUGUGUGGCAUAAAUAAGAGCAAGAUGACUACAAAAGUGAUAUAGAAUUCUCUAGAAGAUGCAUAUCUAAUGAAGGAUGCCAUAAGUAAAAAAGUCUUGGCUUUUAAGUUUUAUAAUUACAAAAUGGUUGAUGCAAGUCAUGUGGUAGCAUAAGUUCAUGAGAUCAUGCAUAUUAUUAAUCAAUUUUGUAAACACAAUACACAUAUGGAUGAUUCAAUUAUUGUAUCUUCUAUUAUUGUUAAACUUCCUACCUCCUAGAAAGAUUACAAAAAAAGUCUCAUACGCAAAAAGAGAACAUUACUCUUGAAGAGUUGGGUCAAUACCUUUUGAAAGUAUGAAUCCUGCAUCAUGGAACUAGCUAUUAGAGGGAGGGUGAAUAGGUAGUCCUUUUAUGGCCCAAAAGUUAUAUUUCUAAUAUUUUUAUUGAUCCUUUGAUCAAUACAUGUGUUUAAUAAUUAAAACAAAGAACAAUUCCACAAUUAACAUAUGAUAUGUAUGGAAAGCCUAUUGGGAUUUUGUUUCUCCUAGACCUUCGGUAACAAACUGAAAAUGUGAUUUGGAAUGAGGUCCACAUUCAUUCCAUCAAUUUAGGAAUGGGGAUUAACAUUUGGAACCACAUUCGCAUCACUGCUCCAUGUUUUGUGCAUGCUCAAAGCAGACUUUGUGAUGGAAAGAGUCUUUAAAAAGGGCAGGGCACUAAUGGGUUGGGUUCCCUAAGCCUUCAAUAUCUUUCAAUCUCAAAAUACACCAUCUAAGAAAAAGGUUGAGAAAGGUUUAGAAGCACCUAAAACCAAAAAAAUAAAUAAAGACACUGUUUUUAACCUAUGAGUGUGUGAGAAUGACAAUGACGGGAGGUACAUUUUCAAUCUAUUUUCAAAUUCUGCUUAUGAUCUAAUUGCUAUUUAAGGAUUGUUAUGAUCAUGUUUAGUUAAUUUAUGUCUUAUAGUUGGUAUCAAAGCCUUGUAUGCCUCAGCCUUGUUCAUUUUUGCAAUCUAUGUUUUUUAAUAAAAAAAAAUACAGUGAGUUUUAGUAUUUUGGAGUUUAUGGUUUUUUGAAGUUUUUGAUGAAAAAUAUGAUUUGAAAUCAUUAGGAAAUAAGAUUUCUAACAUUUGACUACAUGGGGCAUGUCGUUUUGACUAUAAAGAAGGAAUAAAUAAGUAAAAAGAAAUAAGAAAAGGGGCAAUAGCUUAGUUGGUCUCAGCCUUACCUUCUUCUAGUCGUUGCCCAAGUUUGACUCCUUCAGUAGCAAUCUUAAUUUUUUUUUUUUUAUGGAAAUUCAUAAAAUUUAGUGUUUUAAGAUCUUUUAAUUUAUAGGUUUCUUUAUGGAUAUUUUAUGUUCUAAAUUAUUUAUUUUUGUUAUUUGUAUGUAUAUUUUCUAUGGUUUAUAAUGCAUACAACAUUCAGUUAAAUAAUUUUGCAUGCUAAAUUAAUUCUUAAAGGCUCUUUAUGGAUUUAAUUUUAGAUAUUUAUGUUCUAAUAAUAUUUAUUUCAUAAUUUUGUGUGUACGAUUUAUUGUUUUAUUAUACAUGCAAUAUUGAGUUGAAUAAUAUUAGUACAUUGAUAUUGAGUUUUGUGUACAUAUUGCUUAUGGUUUCAUGCAAUUUAUAUGAGCUUUUCUUGUGGAUUAAUUAAAUGUCAAGUGAUCCAUAUAAUUUUAAUUAAUUAGGGAGUAGCCACAAUAUCUUUAAUUAUGCAAAAUUAUAUAUUAAGUGUUUUAGGAUCACAUAUAGAAAAAUGACAUUACGGGUAAUUAAUCAUAUAUGAUUUAAUAAAAUUUUAUCCCACAAUAAUUUUUAUUAUGUUUGUAUGAUUAGUUAGGAUAGAAUAUCAAAUUAUAUUUCUUAAUUACCCACGAGAAUUAGGAAAGGGAACAUAAUUUGAUAGUUUUAUCAUAAGGUUUUACAUAAAUCUAAUUGAAUUAGAACUUUAGCUCACAAGCAAGUUUUAUGUCACUAGAUUCAUAAUUUUGGAACAAGAUUUACAUUGGUAAAACAUGAUAUAUGGUUAUUAGUGUCAAUUUUGAAUUAUUAGCAUGUAUGUUUAUUUUUUGUGUAGUCAUGCAACUUGAGAAUUUCUCUUAUAUAAUGUGAUAUUCCCGAAUUGAAAUGUGAUAACUAUAAGGUUUGGAAGGAGAUAAUUCUCCUUUAUUUGGGGUGCAUGGACAUUGAUUAUGCUAUCAGGAAAGACAAACCAACCAUUACUGACACCAAUACUACAGCUAAAAAGGCUCUUUAUGAACAAUGGGAGCGAUCAAAUCGCCUUAGUGUGAUGUUCAUAAAUACCAAAAUCUCUAUUGGUAUUCGUGGUUUUGUUGAUCAACACGACAAUGUCAAGGCAUUGCUGAUGGAUAUUGAUGAGCAAUUUGUGACUUUAGAUAAGGCACUUGCUAGCACCCUGAUAAUGAAGUUUUCAUCCUUAAGGCUCACCGAUGUGAGUGGUGUGCGAGAGCACAUAAUACAUAUGAGGGACAUUACGACACAAUUGAAGGCACUUGAGGUUGAAAUGUCUAACUCCUUCCUUGUGCACUAUAUUUUGAACACUCUUCCACAACAAUAUGGACCCUUCAAAAUAUUCUACAACACACACAAGGAUAAUUGGUCAAUUAAUGAGCUUCUGACCAUGUGUGUUCAAAAAGAGGAAAGACGGAAAAUGGAAUUAGGUGAGAGUGCAUUAAUGACAACGAAAUGAAAGGAUCAAAAUCAAGCCAAAAGAAAUGGAGAGGUAAAAUACUACCCCAAGGUGGAAUCAAGAAGGCAAAUAAGUGCUUCUUUUGCAAUAAGAAGGGGCAUAUGAAGAAGGGUUGCACCAAAUUCUAGAAAUAGCUUGAGAAGAUAGGUAAACCAAUCUCAUUUGUUUGUUAUGAAUCUAAUAUGGUUGAUGUUAUUUAUAACACAUGGUGGAUUGAUUCUAGUUCUACAAUCCAUGUUUCGAAUACCUUGCAAGGUAUGUGAAACUUCAGGAAGCCAAUGCCAAGUGAGCAAUGCAUUUAUUCAAGAAAUAAGAUGCAUUCACAUGUGGAGGCUAUUGGAACAUGCAGUUUAGUUUUAAGUAGUGGUUUUCUUUUGAAUUUAGAAAAGACAUUUUAUAUUCCAAGUGUCUCUAGGAGUUUGAUUUCAGUUUUAAGAGUUGUACCUUUGGGUUAUUCCUUUAGUUUUUAUGAGACAUCUUUAAGUUUGUUUUACAAAUCUAAUCUUGUUGGAAAUGGUACAUUGUUUGAUGGUAUUUUCUUUAUCAAUUUGCAAAAUGAUACCACUAAUAACACUAUGCAUGUUCACACUCGCACAAAAUGAUGUGUUAUGAAUGAAGAUUCCUUUAUAUUGUGGCACCGGAGAUUGGGACAUAUCUCCAUACAGAGAAUUAAGAGAUUAGUAAAUGAUGGAAUACUCAGUACUUUAGAUUUUAUUGAUUUUGACACUUGUGUGGACUGCAUUAAGGGAAAAUAGACCAACAAGUCUAAGAAGGGUGCCAAAAGGAGUGUAUUAGGCAUUUGAGAGUAUUUGAUAGUUCAGUUGUUUGGAAUGAUCUUGAUUAUAUACCAAUGGCCAGUCUACCGGCCAAGUUUAAGAUGCCUGACAUUGAGAGGUACACGGGCAUUAGUUAUCCCUGUAUUCAUCUUUGACUCUACAGUGUUGUGAUGAGGGCCCAUGAAUUAGACAAGUCGCAGAUGAUCACUAUGUUCCCUUUAUCUCUGAGUGGCACAACCUAGUGUUGGUUCGCAUCUUUAGAGUCCUUGUGACGCAGGAGAUGGAAUAACCUAGCUUAGGAGGUUUUGAAAUAGUUUUCAUUUAACAUUGUUAUAGAAAUGUCGAGGAGAGAGUUGGAGGCUUUGAGAUAGAGAUCAGAUGAGUCUGUUUCUUCCUUCAUUUCCUGUUAGCAGGGGAAAAUAGUAGAGAUUGUUGAUAGACCAUUAGAGAGAGAUUAGAUACAUAUGGUUUUGAGUUUAUAGCCCAAGAUUACUAGAUAUGUGGUCGGAGUACCUUUUAUAGACUUUGGAUCUCUAGUUUCAGUGUUGUAUGACGUGGAGGAUGGCAUUUCGAGAGGGUUAUGGUCUGAUUCUUCCCUUAUUGAUGCUAAGGGGAAGAAACCAGUUGGGAGAUAGAGGUUAGAUGUGGGCACUAUUACUUCUACUAGUCGGAGGCCUCCUAGGCAUCAUUAGCCAGUUCCAUAGCUUACUGGCACUUACAUUUCUUAUUCACCUCAUUAGUAUAGGCCACGAGCACCUUCUCAGUCGUAUGAUCAAACUUACCCAUCCCCCACACUAGUACAGCUGCGUUAUGCGAUACCAGGCACAAAGAGGCCUCUAGUAAAGAAAAUAAAAGUUGUAAAAAUUUGUUUUCUUACUAAACUGAAACUUGGUUCCGUGAUUAAAUUAGGUAAACCUCAUUUUCCUUCUAAAAAUCACUUUUCCAAAAAUAGAAUUGAUUCUUUUUUAUAAUUGUGGAAUCUUUUUUUUUUUUUUAAUAAAGUGUAAACCAAAAUCAUUUCUUUGUGAAUAGGAGAUCAUAUUGAAACUUGUCUCUUUAAUAAAUUCAAAUUCAAUCAAAAUUCUUUUAAUAAAAUCAAUAAAAGUCUUUUUUUUUAAUUAAUUUUGGAUGUGAAUAAAAAUUGAAUCUUUUGUAAAUAAAUUGAAACAUUGUGAGUAAAUAAGUUUGAAAUCUUUAAUUCGGAAUUGUUUCCUUUGUAAAUAAAAUUCUUUUGAACUUCCUUUGAAAUGUUCUAACUUUAACAAAUAAUUAAAUUCUAUUUUGUGUAUUUCACAUUCAUUAAUUAUGUACAUUCUUGUAUAUUCUUUUUUUCACCUCAUGACUUAUAUGUAUAUUGUUGUCCUAUUAUUGUUAUUCUCAAUUAAUUAAUCAAUUGUCAUUAUUCCUUCCAUUCGCUUAGUAGAGACUGUAAGUAUACAAGUUUAAAGGGAUGCUAUGGAUUAAUUAUCAUACCUUCCCUAUAGAUAACCUGAUCCCCGGACUUAGACUCGGGUUUUUCAAAGAUAGGUUUUUUCAUAACUUAAAGAGUCAUUUUUCUUAGGAUUUUAGUUUCUUAUUUUAUUUCCCCUUUAAAUAAAAAUUUAAAAAAAAAAAAAAAACAAGUGGCAACUCUAGCUUUUACAAAAAUACAGUUUUUUCAUUAAAAGAAAGCGAAUCUUGUCAAUCAAGUGAGGGACGCAUGUGAAAAUUGCAGUUCCACAUAAACAUAAUGACCUUUGUUAUCCUUGGUAUCCAUGAUUUAUUGAUCAAUUGUCAUGUUUGCUUCAACCUAAAGAAGGGUAUUACCUUUAUAGUACCUUCCUAAUAGGUAAUCUAACUUUCAAACUUAGAUUCAGGUUUUUAAAGACACGUUUUUCCAAAAAUAAGGAGUUAAUUUUUUAGGGUUUUAUUUCUUAUUUUAUUUUCAUUUUUAAAACUAAAUAAAAAUAAGUGGCAACUCCAAUUUUUUUAAAAUCAAUUUUUCACUAAGAACGCCAGUCUCACUGUCAAGUGCGGACACACAUGAAAAAAGCAAGUCUACAUAUGCAUAUUGGAUGUGGAUAUUGGAGGCCAACACUUGAAUAUUGUUGGAUAUUUUGUUCUUUUUAUGGAGUUUCUUCUUCUUUUAUUCAAAUUGUUUUCAUAUAGAUUGUUUAAGAAAUUGCUUGAUCUCUUAAAUAAUUGGUUGUACAGUAGGUUUCGAUGCUUUAAUUUAUUUGGUUUUAUUAUUUUUUUUAGGUUAUUUUACUCUUCUUUAAGCUCAUUGAUCAUAUGAAAUGAGGUUUUGUUUAGAUUUGAAAUCCUUAGAUAUGUGUGUGUGUGUGUGUGUGUAAAAUCAAAUUUGAGAGCUAUGAAGUGUUUGUUUAUUUAUCAAAGAGAUUUUCUAUAGAAAUGACACUUUGAAGCCCUUUUUUUUUUUUUUUUUUUUUUUUGCUCUUUUAGGUUUUCUUUGCAAAAUUUAUUUUAAAACCCAUUUUCAAACUCUCUUUAGCUAAGUUUCAAACAUCUUUUAAUGGUUAAUUUUGUGUCCCAAGGUCAAGCCUCCUUCUAUAGGCUUUGAUCUUACCUUUAUACUUGAUAAAAUUGAUAGUUGCUCUUAUGGUUUUUAUGAUUUUUGAAAAGCUUGAUUUUUAAUAGACCAUUCUUGACCCUUUUAGUCUCUUUUCAUGGUCAAUUAGGGUUAAAUUAUGAUUAUUUGAUAGUUAUUAAUGGUUAUCAUGUUCUUUAGUACAUAAGGCAUGAUUUGACAUGAGAACAUCCCUAUCUAUGGGUAUUUCUUUAUGCAUUUCAGUUCUCUUUUCAUGUGUGAAUGUUAAUUUGGCCCUUCAUGCCUCUUAUGAGAUUAAAUUCAUACUCGUUUGAGAGUUGAGAAAGGGUGAAUUCCCUUUAGUUAAUCCAUGGCACAUUCAUUUGGCCUACAUCACUCAUUUUUCUAAAACUUAUGAUUUUCAUUUUUUUUAAUCUUGCAAAUCUAAAUUUAAUUGGAUUAUCUCUGACCUUCAUGAGCUUCUUUCCAUGAUCAUUAGAGGUUUGGGAUGUGGAAUAGUCCAUGGAAAUCAAUUUGGGCUCAUGGUCAAGCCCACAUUCAUUGAUCUCUAACUUUUUGCCCACUUGUUGCCCUGCUGUUUUUACCCCCAAAGUGUUUUUUUUGCAAAUCUAAACUUUUUAACUUGUCCUAAAAUAUUUUUGAGCCUUAUAAUAUGUUUUAGACUUCUUAAAUUUAUCAAAGAAUUUUUGUUUUGUUGAAAAAUCCUUCUCCAAACUUGUUAAACAAAUUGGUUUUUCCAAGUGUCUAGAUUCUACCAUGUUUUGUACCUCCAAAAUGUUUUGAAAAUUAGUCUUAACUCAUAGGUUUAAUUUUUUUUCUAUAUUUUAGACUUCUUAAUAAGGUUUUAAAUUUUAGUUUCAUUUUAAAAUCAUUUUUCAAGCUUGUAAAUUAAUUCUAUCUUGUUAUUCUUGUGGUAUUAACCUAAAUAUGGCGUUAUGAUUUGUUCUCUAAAAUUUAGGAUAAUUAGUAGAUGUUUGGGCCCCAUGAAUUUUUUUUCAUGUGUUCUAGACACUUUAAAUAUACUUUUUAAUUUUUGUUUUAAUUUUAUCUAACCUCUAUGCUUGUUGAAUAAUUUCAAUAUUUUUACAUGACUUGUUGUUCUACCUUACUUUUUAGCAAUAAUAUGUUUGGUUAAAUCUGGGAUAGUUGGUGCAUAGGCUUUCAAAUUGUAUUUUAGCCACUUUGAGCAUAUUGUAGAAUUUUUUUGUCUGAUUUUAUCUUAUGUCUAUCUAUUUUAUUUAGAUUUAUUUUAUAAAUAUUUAUUUUCUUUCUUAUUUCUAUACCAUGUAAAUAUCUUGUUAAUUCAACCCCUUUCAACUUGUUUUUAAACUUAUUUAAUUCUUACUUUGUAUUAUAUACAUCUUGUAUAUGUUAGUCAAACCUUCCUUUAUAUUAUAUUUCCUCUUUAACUAUUUUAUUUGGAUUUAUUUUGUGGUUGUAUUCUAUUGUCCUAAUUUGAUCCCUUUACAUGUUUAGUGUAAUUUUGGUCCACUUUGAUGUUAGUUUAGCUAUCCUUGAUCAUUGAUUUGAGUAGUGUACAUCUUAUUUAUAUAUAUAUAUAUAUAUAUAUAUAUAUAUAUAUAUAUAUAUGAUUCUUGCUUUGUUAUUAGAUCUCUUAUCUUACUUGUGAGCUAAUCUUUUUUUCCUUGUAUAGGCACGUUGCCCUCUUUUGGGCAUUUUUAAGGAACGCUCCCUUCCUUUCUUGUUUCUUUGAUUCAUUAUCUCUUGCUCCUGUUUAAUAUCACCAUUGCUUUGUUAUAUAAUUUCAUGUUGUUAUUUCUUGAUUCACUAUUUCAUUAGUCAAUUGCCUAAGUUUCCUCCACUUGUUUAGUAGCAACCUCUUUAAAGCUUAAAGGAGUGUUACUCUGUAGUACAUUCCCAAUAAGCAACCUAACCCUUAGAUCUAGACUCAAUUUUCGUGCACUUUGCUUUUCCUUUUAAUAGGAGUCACUUAGAAUUUUAUUUUUAAUUUGUUUUCAUUUUUUAAAAAAAAUAAAAAUAAGUGGUGACUUCAAUAUUUUCAAAAAUUAGUUUUUCACAAUAAAAAACGAGUAUCUCCAUUAAGUAUAGAUGCACAUGAAAAAUGUGGGACCAUACUAAGACUACAAAAUUUGCUUAUAAUUGAUACAUAUUUAAUGAUUUAGAAUUAUGUUAAUGACUUAUUUGUAAUAAUUUGUAUAUACUCUCGGGUCAUGUGGGUUAUAUUAUUUAUAUAAUAAAUCAAUUAAUUUGUGAUUUUGAUGCGAUUAAUAAUAUUAAAAUUAACUUAAAUAUAUCUUACCUUACACAACAAGAUAAUGUGAGAGUCACUACCACCCAAAAUCGAUAAAUUAAAUUUCCUUUUCUUGGUUAUACUAUUAUAUUAUGUUUAGUUUUAAAAAAAUUAUUAAAAAAGUAAUGUACUUAUGAUUGAUUUUAUUAUAAAAAAUACAAAUAAAAAUCAAAUAUAAUUCAAAGGAAAAUAUGUAUUUUUAAAUUAUUUAAUUUAAUUUUUAUAUAAAAGAAUUAAAAUAAAUUUAAAAUAAUAUAUAAAAAUAAUUAUUUAACUUUAAAUUUUUUUAUUUUCAUCUCUCUCUAAUAAUUUGUUGGAUGGAAUGAUUGGCAGUGUGAUGAGUAUGUUGUUGUAGAGCCUCAAUAUUUGACCAUCAGCACAACCACAUGCACUCAUUACAUUCCUCCGCUAUUAUAAAUUCUUAAACGUCUCAAAUAUACUCCAUUAUUGGCUCCGCGUACGUAUAGUUAUUAAUUCGCAGCAAGCUAACGAACAAUUGGCCUUGGCCUUACUUACAACAUCAUGAUUAUGAUAUUUUCCCCUUCAUUUAUGUCCAUUAAAAUAAUAUCAAGAUCCCUUGGUAAGUUGCUAAAACUCAAGUCACAUUAAACCUCAAACAUUUUAAAACCCAAAUCAUAUCAAAGCCUAAAUUACAAUAAAGCUCAAGUCACACUAAAUUUAAGUUAAGGUUCGUCCACAUUACAUACAUCGAAAAUAAAAUUAAGAUAAGACUAAAGUCAAGUUAAGACUUAAAAUCAAAUUUAAGAUAAGACUCAAAUAAAUUCAAGUCAUUUAGAAUCAAAUUUCUUUAACUCUACAAUGAAUGACAAUUAUAAUGUGUAGUACACUUUAUCAUAGUGGAGUUCAAAAAAGAAAAAAGGAAAAAGGGGAAAAGGGAAAAUAAUGUGAUGUUGGGUUGAAAAAGGAAAAAUCAUGUGGUAUUGGGUGACAUAUCAUUUCAGAGUUUGAAAGAAAAAAAAGUAAUCAUGUGGCAUUAGGUUAUGUGGGUGAUGGCAUCAACCCUUCAAAUACAAAGGAAUAAUUUUGUAAUUUUGUAAUGGUAGAUAGCAUCAAUCAUUCACUUGAUAACUAACCUAAUAGUAAGUUUAGAGUGAGACAAAAAAAAGUUAGAAGAUUUCACCACGGAAAAUUCCAACUUAUGCGUGAGAUGAUAGGACAUCACCCCAACUUACCUCAAAGUCAUCAAUUCAGGAAUCUCUCUUUUUAUCUUUUUUGGACUGUCCUAUCUUGUCUUUGGACCUUCAAAAAAUAUCAACUAUGUUCUACAUUUACUAUCUCAUGUUUCCUACAAUUUUUAUUCCAAUCCAAGUUCUUUUUUCUUGAUUUUUGUCAUACUCUUUGCUUUUACUAGUAACUUUAACGUGCACGUUUGCUAACCAUGAAUAAAAGACAUGAUUGAAAUAAAUUUGGUUUAAUCAUUUAAAAAAAGAAAAAAAUAGUGGAAAAUAUUAGAGAGAAAAUCGAGAGAGGAGUAACAAAUAAAAGUUUUUAUAUUUUUAAUGUAUAUAUGAAAAAAAAUUUAAUGUUUUCAUAAUUGAAUCGAUCAUUGAAUCAAAAAAGUUAUCAAUUCAUGGUUCUAAUCGAACCGACGAUCGAACUGGUGACAUCAUAAAUAUAUAUUUUAUAUAUUAUUAAAAUUAAAAAUAAUUAUAAAAAAUUAAAAAUAUAUAAAAAUAAAUUAAAAACCAAUAAUAUUAUUUUUUAUAUCUUUGAUAUUAUCAAAUUAAAUCAUACAUAAGUAUAAAAAUAUUAAUAUUUUAAAUUUUAUUAAAUGAUAUAUAUAAAAUAUUUAAAUAUGAAUAUAUUGACAAUGAAAGAAAAUUAAAUUAUUUUAUUUAAUAUGAUGUUUUUAAAAAAAAGAAUUUAUUUAUUUUUGUUUGUGUGUUUCCGAGUGGUUCAAGUCCGGACAAAACACUGUUCAUCCACAAUGAUGCACAGUAAGAUGCUGGACAAAAAUCACUAUUCAUUUACAGUAAAAAUUCGGAACAAAAUCACUAUUCACCCAUAGCGAUGUAUAAUAAAGAUUCCUGCCAAAAAUCACUAUUCAUCACUAUACAUGUAACAUUCCCCGUGUAAAAAGUAAAAAGUAAAAAUAAAAAUCCACAAUAAUAAGAGCAAUGUCAAUCGAUGUUUUCAUAUGCUUAAUGUAUAUAUAGGUAAAAAAAUCAAUGUUUUUAGAAUUAAGUCAAUCAUUGAAUCAAAAAAAUUAUCGAUUCACGAUUUAAUAGUCGGACAAAUGAUCGAACUGAUUACAUCAUAAAUAUAUAUUUUAUAUAUUAUUAAAAUUAAAAAUAUUUAUAAAAAAUUAAAAAUUAAUAAUAUUAUUUUUUGUAUCUUUGAUAUUAUCAAAUUAAAUUAUGAAUAAGUAUAAAAAUAUUAAUAUUUUAAAUUUUAUUAAAUGAGAUAUGUAUAAUAUUUAAAUAUGAAUAUAAAUUAAAUUAUUUUAUUUAAUAUGAUGUUUUUUUAAAAAAGAAUUUAUAUAUUUUUUUUUGUUUGUUUUAUGCAGCAUGUGUGUACCUGAGUGGUUCAAGUCCUGAAGCAUCAAACUAUCACUAGGAAAAAUGUGAAACGAAAAAGUAAAAGUUUUAAAUAGUAUAAUUCCAGACAAAAAUCACUGUUCAACAGCAAUGAUUCUGGACAAAAACACUGUUCAUCCACAAUGAUGCACAGUAGAUGCUGGACAAAAAUCACUAUUCAUUUGUUCACCAUUGCGAUGUAUAAUAAAGAUUCCUGCCAAAAAUCACUAUUCAUCACUAUAUAUGUAACAUUCCCCGUAGAUUUCAUAAUAAGAAAACCCACAAACACUAGAUACCUCUUUAGUCACCGACGCAUAAAAAGUAAAAAUGAAAAUUCGCAAUAAUAAAAACUAUAACUGCAACACGCAACUUGUCUUUUCAAUCCUUACAUGACCCGGUUCUUGUUUAAAACUUAAUCUCCUUCAACCCGUGGGCGAAGAUCCUUGUAGUAAGCAAAGACCAGGCAGCCAUCAUCAUGCAUGCUCUCUCCCACAAAAAAUUGAAGGUCACUGAACCUUAAUGUGUCUACAAUGUCAACCACUUUGACAGCUUGAUCCUCAAUGCCCUCAUCAUCUUCGCCACCUUCAGUAGAAGGAUUGCGCCAAUGUCUACAUCAAUGGCUCCUUGAACAACCCACUUCCCCUCAACUUGGCUCCAUUGAAGAGCUUCUUGUAUGGGAAUGAGUUUCGCAGAAGCUCGUCCCCGGUGAGCAAAUCCUGACAGACAAGCAUGGUGGCGGCUGAGUCUCUCUCGGAUCGCUCCAAAAAUCAGUAUCCAAAGCGCAGGAGAAGAUGGAGCGGUGAGAGCUACUUUCUUAAGCAUAUUUAAACUAUAAUAUUUCAGUUUUAACUCAGUUCAUAUUUAAACUUUCUUCCAAUAAAAGUUUAUUAAUUUCAAACUUUCUUAAUUUCCGUCUUUAUAUUUUCAAUUUCUGUCUAUUUUUUUAUAUUUAUUUAAAGAAUUUAUUUUGAUUUAUAAAUUGCUUUAUGUUCCAUAUGGAAGUGGUAUCAAAAUUAAGUGUUACUUAAGAUUUGAGUAAUAUAUACAAGUAUAAAACAAUAGCAAAUAUUAAAGUCCAUAGAAAAAGCAAGUGUGUACGAGUUCAGGAGAAUGUAGGUGUGAGGGUUUUUGUAAGUAUGAGCAUGAGAGAGGGAGAUGGAUUGUACCUUUAGCAACUCCAUUUCUUCUUUUGUGGAAUGAAAUUUACUGACAUUCUUGACCUGGUCAAUGUCAGCAAAGAGAACUUAGUUAGGCAGAGUUUGAUAUGCAAAGUAUCAAAAGCAUUUUUGCAUUGACCAGCAAGUUGAACAAUUCCAGGGUUUGCCUUAUGCUGAAUAUUAUCUUCUUUAUUUGGCUAAUUGCAAUAUCCUCAAAUUCUUUACUUGGCUGGUUGUGGUAUCCUCAAAUUUCUAAAAGAAGCCAUAUUGAGCAUGGGAAAGGAAAACAAAAAGUGCAUUUAGAAAACCAAUUAACUAAUAUUUCUUGAACAAAUCAUAUAUCACCGAACAAAACAUUUAAUAAAAAAUUUAAAUAUUAAUCAUAAUAACCAAAAAUAAAAAAUAAAAAGAGAGAAUUUUUAUAAUUUAAGAUCUUUGAAAUCAUAUUCAUUAUAUAUAUAUAUAUAUAGAGAGAGAGAGAGAGAGAACUUAAAUUUAUUAGUUUAUAUAAAUAUGCACAUAUUCCAUCACAAAAUCAAAUAUUACUAAUUCAAGAAAGAAGAAUCUAAUCAAAAUGAAUUUGAUAAUCAAAAUAAAUGUCUUCUGAUUCAAAAUAUUCAAUUGUAUCUUCUACUUCUUCUUUGUUAAUCAUUAAACUAAUCAUUAAUUUUCUUAGUUUGUCACUUAUUUUUAAAGAAUUUAUUUUAUUUUUUAAUUGACAAUAUUUUGAAUAAAGUCCUACUUUUCUGCACUUAUAACAUUUUGGUGUUUUCUUUUUAAAAUUUGAUUUGACAAGGUUUUUGAUUUGUUAUUUUUUUUAUAUCUUUCUUUUGAACUUUUGUUUCAUUUGAUGACUUAAGACUCUUUAUAUUAUUUGGUUUAUUAUUUUUGUUUUUUAUUUUUGAAAGGGCUACUAAAGUAUCGUAUCCAUAAUAUGAACAAAAAUUUCCCAAUUCCUUUUUACUAUCUUGUCUUUCCUUUUUCAUCUAACUCUUGAGUUUGAGAUCUGUACAAAGAGCUAAACCUUCAUUAUUGAUGAAUAUAAUUAAUUCUUCAUAAAUUAAUGAUUUAUAAGGAAUUCUUCCAUUAUGUAAAUAUCUAAUUCUUUUUCUAAUCUUUUCUAUAAAUAAUGUGGGUAAUCCUAAUAUAAGAUUUUCGUUCCAAUAGUGAUUUCUACAAUAUGAUCUUGUCAUGACUUUGACUAAAAAUAUGUCUUUAUACCAUUUGAAAUUUUGAAGAGUUGGACAUCUAAGAUUAUUGAAUAUUUUUUAAGUUCCUUCUUGAAAAUAAAUUGGAUCUCUUAUGAAAUGUUUAUUGUUAUUACAAAUAUUAAAAUAUUGAUAACAUCUUCUUUAAUAAUUUAAACAAAUGUUCCUUCUUCCUUAACUACUAUUUUUCUUGCAUUUAAUAUUUAUUCUAUUUUAUUUUGAUUAAAAUAAUAAUACCACCAUCCUUUGAGUAAGCUAGUGAAUCAUAUAACUAAAACACCAGCAAGAGAUGAAAUUGAUAAAGAUGACAUUGUUGAUGUUGUUGAAGAGACAAGAGAUGAAAUUGAUAAAGAUGAAGUUAUUGUUGAUGUUGAUGUUAAUGUUUCUCUUGAUGUUGAUGUUUCUCCUACCUUCUUUACCAAAGUAGAAGAAAAUAAAACUUGAGAAAUUUUUGUUGUUUAUUGACUAAGAUGUUGGAGAGUAUGAUUGGUAUAAUGUAAUUGUUGUUGGACUUGUUUAAUAUCUUUGUAAAUUAUGGGACUUUCCUCAUUUUUAAUUCUGAGAAUGUUGAAGGGUGAAGUAGAGAUGGAAUUAUUGUCAAAAUUAAAUUGACAAUUAUUUAAGGGUGAUUGUGAUCCUAAUUUUAUAGUUAUGGUUGCAAUUCAUUUUUUUCUUGAUUAAUAGAUAAAUGAUUUAAUGAUUGUUGUACUCCUAGUUCUACUGUUACGGUUGUAAUACAUUUGGAGAGUUUCUUGAAUUUGAAAAACCAAUGGAAAAAAGAAAUUGUCAUUUUAAUUUGUUACAUGUAAUUUCCAUAUUGUUAAUGUAAAGCAUUUCUAGUAUGAGGAGAAAGAGUUUUGAAAUAUGCUCUUUUGGCGUCAUUGUAAAGUGAGAAAAAAAAAAUCAUGUUUGAUAAAAGCAGUAUAAAAAACAAAAGGAUUUUCUUAUAAUUUCUUUUUUUGAAUAACAUAUACUUGGAAAGUACACAUAUUACAAUGAGUAGGAGGCAUAGAUGGAGAUUCUUAUUGUUGAUAAGUAGGAAUAGGAAUAUUUGGAAUAAAAUUGAUACUAUUUAAAAUUAUAUUUGAAGUAGAAGGUCUUGAAGAAAGAAAUUCUUAAGAAAAGAGAUAUCUUGGAGAUUGACCAAAUUCUAUUUAAAUAGUAUCAUAUGUGUGUUGUAUAAUUUUUGAAAGAUUUGUUGAAGGUUUGAUGGGUUUGAGAUUUGUUAAAUCUUUUAAUUCCCAUUGACCUCCAUGAAUAAUUUCAUUCCAUUUGAGAUUUUCAGGAACAAAAAAGCUGGAGUAUUAUGAAGAUUAUAUUGUAACAAUAAUGUUUUAUCUUUGAUGGAUUGACAUAUAACUCUAACAUUAAAUUGAGUAGUGAUUACUUUGUAAUAUAUUCUAUAUAUUAUUGCUAUUAAUUGAUCUUGUUCUACAAAAUUCAUAUUUUUUUAUCUUAAUGUUUAAAGUUAAGCUUGACAAAAUACUUGUUUAAUUUAAAUUCAUUAAAAAAUUUGGAAAACAAUUGAAAUAAAUAUGACUAUUUGCAAGGUUUGAAUCAAUCAUACUAAGAAAAAAAAAAGUUGUUGCCCUAGCAUCUCUUAGGUAGAAAAGUACACGAAUAUCUAAACCUAAGUGAAAUAAGGGUUUGAUGGCAACUUGUACUAAUCUUAUGUGGACAUAAUUAAAUUUUCUUUUGCGUUGAUUAAUUGUGUUGACUCAAUAAUUGUACUUUCUAAAUUUUGAUUAAGAUAAAUAGUUUGUUCUUCAGUUUUGAUUACAUAAUUUUGAAGCAAUUCAAAUUUACUUUGUUGAUAAAUUGUAUUAAUUUUCAUAUGGGAUAUUGGCCAAUUAUGUAACUAUUUAUGAUAUUUUGACUAGAUGUUGAUGUGUAUGAAUAUGCAAAAUUAUCAUAUGCAAACUAUUAGACAUAAGAGAUUUAGAUGAACUAGAUGUUGAUGUGUAUGAAUAUGCAGAAUUAUCAUAUGCGUGUAGAACUAUUAGACCUAAGAGAUCUAGAUGAACUAAAUCUGCUAAACUUUUUUAUUUUAUUUUAUGAUAUUACUCAUUGACACAUAAUACAAUCACAAUCUUAUCAUUUAUUAAAUUCAAAUGAUUUUUUGAAUAAGGACCACCCAAUCGAUCACAAAAGGACUUACUCUCUUUUUGCCCUUCAACAACACCUUCGCUCACAAAAAAUUUAGUUUGAACUAACUUCAAACUUAAUUAAUGAUUACAAACUAUUCCAAAUCAUAAUAUUACUUACAUCUAUAAACAAAAUUUGGCUCUGAUACAAUUUCAACCCAAAACAUAAAAUAAUUCAUAAAUCAAAAUAAAAUUCUAGAAAUAAAUAUAUAAAACAGAAAUAAAAGACAUAAAUAAAGACACAAGCCAAGUUUUGCAUCUAAAGUUUUAACUGAUUUCAUAUUUAAACCUUCAUUCUUCUUUCAUUUCAAAUAAACAUAUGUAUGACUUAAAAAUCGAAUAGCACCCGAACAUCUAAAACCUUAAUAAUUUUUUUUAUAAAAAACAAACAAGUAUUAAAUUUUUAGUUAAUAAAAAAAAUUAUUAAAUAGCAUAGAGUAUUUUAUGAUGCAUGCAAGACAUUAGAAGUGAAAGGUAUAUAUUAGAAUCCGUAUGACAUAUUAAGAAUUUUUAGCGAAUAAAUUAUUUAAUUAUUUUUUCUAUAAAAAAGAGUAAUAUAUAUAUAAAAU